UACGUAGGGUGCAAGCGUUAUCCGGAUUCACUGGGUUUAAAGGGCGCGUAGGCGGUGCGGUAAGUCUGUAGUGAAAUCUCUGGGCUCAACUCAGAGUCUGCUGCAGAAACUGCCGUGCUUGAGUGUGGGAGAGGUGAGUGGAAUUCCCAGUGUAGCGGUGAAAUGCGUAGAUACUGGGAGGAACACCAGUGGCGAAGGCGGCUACCUGGACCGGUUCUGACGCGUGAGGCGACGAAAGCGUGGGUAGCAAACGAGG
rnacentral:rRNA from 1 species